CACUAGUACCUGGGAACAGAAGUAGAGGGAACACGGACCAGAAAAGGGUCCAAGAAAGCUUUCAAGGUGUCUCCUGAGAUGUCUAGAGAUUCAAGAUUCCUGAAGAAGCUAUCAAAAGAACAGAAGACAAAAAUGCUAACCACCAGUCACUUGAAAAAAGAUAAACUGUGACCAGAGGGAAUUUACAAACUCCAAAAUCCUGUCUCCAGACAGUUUAAUGCUUUCAUUUUUUUCAGUGACACACUGGAAAGCUUUCACUGGUAAAUCUAUCCAAGACUGGAAAAUAAAUCAAGAGUUGUUUACCAAAUUAGACACAAUGUGCAAAUAUUGGAUGUGAUGAAGAAACCCGUGUGGAGAAUAAUCCUAGCACAUUGGUUCCCAUUUCACCGGAUUUUGAAGUUAUUAUAAAACCUAUAUGUUUUUUUGGAGGAUGCAGCACACUUUCGUAUGGAUAGAAUACAUAAUAGAAAUUAAAGUGUAUGAAGAAUUAAUAAUGGCAAGUAUCAGCUUUU